CGCGAGGGGGGCAGAGGGAAACCACCAGAGACAAACGGGUCUGUGCUCGAGUCUGUUCUCCAGGCAUCAUCUGCUUAGCAUGGACCCAGUAACUUUAAGCUGCAGUUCACCACCAGGCCAAGUACGGUGGAAACAUGAGAGAUCCUUAGAGC